rnacentral:rRNA from 1 species
UACGGAGGGUGCGAGCGUUGUCCGGAAUCAUUGGGCGUAAAGGGCGCGUAGGUGGCCCGGUCAGUCUUUGGUGAAAGCGCGGGGCUCAACCCUGCGUCGGCCAGGGAUACUGCCGCGGCUCGAGCACUGUAGAGGCAGGCGGAAUUCCGGGUGUAGCGGUGGAAUGCGUAGAGAUCCGGAAGAACACCAGUGGCGAAGGCGACUCACUGGACAUGUAUUGACGCUGAGGUGCGAAAGCGUGGGGAGCAAACAGG